GAAUAAGUAUCUCAGUUGGUUAGAGUGUGGUGCUGAUAACGCCAUGAUUGCAGGUUCGAUCCCCAUAAGGGACA
rnacentral:tRNA from 1 species